AGUUCUGAUCCUGUUUGUAAAUCAAGUUCACUCUAAGAGCAGUUAUUAAAGAGCGCGUUUGUCUUUCAGAUCGUGAUAUGGGAGCUCGCCAUCGUGCUCGUGCCCACUCCAUCCAGAUAAUGAAGGUUCAGGUCAUCGCUGCCAACAAGUGUCGCAGACCUGCCAUCAAGCAGUUCCACGACUCAAAGAUUAAGUUCCCGCUGCCUCACCGGGUCCUGCGUCGCCAACACAAACCCCGUUUCACCACCAAGAGACCGAACACCUUCUUCUAAAACACAUUUUUCACUGUGUGCGGGGAAUAAUAAAGUUUCUGUUAUAGAAGACGA